AGGGAAGGCUGGCGGCAGGCCUAACACAUGCAAGUCGAACGGUAACAGGAAACAGCUUGCUGUUUCGCUGACGAGUGGCGGACGGGUGAGUAAUGUCUGGGAAACUGCCUGAUGGAGGGGGAUAACUACUGGAAACGGUAGCUAAUACCGCAUAACGUCGCAAGACCAAAGAGGGGGACCCUCGGGCCUCUUGCCAUCGGAUGUGCCCAGAUGGGAUUAGCUUGUUGGUGGGGUAACGGCUCACCAAGGCGACGAUCCCUAGCUGGUCUGAGAGGAUGACCAGCCACACUGGAACUGAGACACGGUCCAGACUCCUACGGGAGGCAGCAGUGGGGAAUAUUGCACAAAGGGCGCAAGCCUGAUGCAGCCAUGCCGCGUGUAUGAAGAAGGCCUUCGGGUUGUAAAGUACUUUCAGCGGGGAGGAAGGGAGUAAAGUUAAUACCUUUGCUCAUUGACGUUACCCGCAGAAGAAGCACCGGCUAACUCCGUG
rnacentral:rRNA from 1 species